rfam:Stegodyphus mimosarum contig117529, whole genome shotgun sequence.
AAAAAGGCUCUUUUCAGGGCCAGAAAAAGAUUAAGAAAGUCUUUUU